rnacentral:tRNA from 1 species
AGGGAUUUAGCUCAGCGGCAUAAGCACCUGCCUUGCAAGCAGGUGGUCGUGAGUUCAAUCCCCA